AGGUUAAGUGGAAGACACGGAGCCGUAGCGAAAGCGAGUCUGAAUAGGGCGAUUUAGUAUGCGGUCGUAGACCCGAAACCGUGUGAUCUACCCAUGUCCAGGGUGAAGGUCAGGUAACACUGACUGGAGGCCCGAACCCACGUAUGUUGAAAAAUGCGGGGAUGAGGUGUGGGUAGGGGUGAAAUGCCAAUCGAACACGGAGAUAGCUGGUUCUCUCCGAAAUAGCUUUAGGGCUAGCCUCAAGAUGAUGAGUACUGGAGGUAGAGCACUGAUUGGACUAGGGGCCCUCAUCGGGUUACCGAAUUCAGUCAAACUCCGAAUGCCAGAUACUUAAACUUGGGAGUCAGACUAUGGGUGAUAAGGUUCAUAGUCGAAAGGGAAACAGCCCAGACCACCAGCUAAGGUCCCAAAGUAUACGUUAAGUGGAAAAGGAUGUGGAGUUGCUUAGACAACCAGGAUGUUGGCUUAGAAGCAGCCACCAUUUAAAGAGUGCGUAAUAGCUCACUGGUCGAGUGACUCUGCGCCGAAAAUGUACCGGGGCUAAACGUAUCACCGAAGCUGUGGAUUGUUCUUACGAACAAUGGUAGGAGAGCGUUCUAAGUGCUGUGAAGUCAGACCGUGAGGACUGGUGGAGCGCUUAGAAGUGAGAAUGCCGGUAUGAGUAGCGAAAAAAGAGUGAGAAUCUCUUUCACCGAAUGCCUAAGGUUUCCUGAGGAAGGCUCGUCCUCUCAGGGUUAGUCGGGACCUAAGCCGAGGCCGAAAGGCGUAGGCGAUGGACAACAGGCAGAUAUUCCUGUACCACCUCAUGACCGUUUGAGCGAUGGGGGGACGCAGUAGGAUAAGGAAUGCGCACGGAUGGAUGUGUGCGCCCAAGCAGUGAGAAAGUCAGGUAGGCAAAUCCGCCUGGCCAUUUCAAGCUGUGAUGGGGAGGCCUUCUGGCCGAAGUUCCUGAUUUCACACUGCCGAGAAAAGCCUCUAGCAAGGUCACAGGUGCCCGUACCGCAAACCGACACAGGUAGGCGAGGAGAGAAUCCUAAGGUGAGCGGGAGAACUCUCGUUAAGGAACUCGGCAAAAUGACCCCGUAACUUAGGGAGAAGGGGUGCUCUACGGAGUAGAGCCGCAGUGAAUAGGCCCAAGCGACUGUUUAGCAAAAACACAGGUCUCUGCGAAGCCGAAAGGCGAAGUAUAGGGGCUGACACCUGCCCGGUGCUGGAAGGUUAAGGGGAAGAGUUAGGGCUUUUGCCCGAAGCUUAGAACCGAAGCCCCAGUAAACGGCGGCCGUAACUAUAACGGUCCUAAGGUAGCGAAAUUCCUUGUCGGGUAAGUUCCGACCCGCACGAAAGGUGCAACGACUUGGGCACUGUCUCAACGAGAGACCCGGUGAAAUUAUACGAUGCGUGAAGAUGCGCAUUACCCGCGACAGGACGGAAAGACCCCGUGGAGCUUUACUGUAGCCUGAUAUUGAAUGUCUGUGCAGCUUGUACAGGAUAGGUGGGAGCCUUAGAAACGUGAGCGCCAGCUUACGUGGAGGCAUCCGUGGGAUACCACCCUGGCUGUAUGGACCUUCUAACCCAGGACCGUGAUCCGGUUCGGAGACAGUGUCAGGCGGGCAGUUUGACUGGGGCGGUCGCCUCCCAAAAGGUAACGGAGGCGCCCAAAGGUUCCCUCAGAAUGGUUGGAAAUCAUUCGCAGAGUGUAAAGGCAGAAGGGAGCUUGACUGCGAGACCUACAAGUCGAGCAGGGACGAAAGUCGGGCUUAGUGAUCCGGUGGUUCCGCAUGGAAGGGCCAUCGCUCAACGGAUAAAAGCUACCCCGGGGAUAACAGGCUUAUCUCCCCCAAGAGUUCACAUCGACGGGGAGGUUUGGCACCUCGAUGUCGGCUCAUCGCAUCCUGGGGCUGUAGUCGGUCCCAAGGGUUGGGCUGUUCGCCCAUUAAAGCGGUACGCGAGCUGGGUUCAGAACGUCGUGAGACAGUUCGGUCCCUAUCCGUCGUGGGCGUUGGAAGUUUGAGAGGAGCUGUCCUUAGUACGAGAGGACCGGGAUGGACAUACCGCUGGUGUACCAGUUGUUCCGCCAGGAGCAUAGCUGGGUAGCUACGUAUGGAAAGGAUAAGUGCUGAAAGCAUCUAAGCAUGAAGCCCCCCUCAAGAUGAGACUUCCCAUCAUUUUAAAUGAGUAAGAUCCCUCAGAGACGAUGAGGUUAAUAGGUUUGAGGUGGAAGCGUGGCGACACGUGGAGCUGACAAAUACUAAUCGAUCGAGGACUUAACUAAUUU
rnacentral:rRNA from 1 species